GGAGAGUUUGAUCCUGGCUCAGGACGAACGCUGCGGCGUGCUUAACACAUGCAAGUCGAACGGUAAGGCCCUUCGGGGGUACACGAGUGGCGAACGGGUGAGUAACACGUGGGUGAUCUGCCCUGCACUCUGGGAUAAGCCUGGGAAACUGGGUCUAAUACCGGAUAUGAGCUCCUGUCGCAUGGCGGGGUUGGAAAGGUUUACUGGUGCAGGAUGGGCCCGCGGCCUAUCAGCUUGUUGGUGGGGUAAUGGCUACCAAGGCGACGACGGGUAGCCGGCCUGAGAGGGCGACCGGCCACACUGGGACUGAGACACGGCCCAGACUCCUACGGGAGGCAGCAGUGGGGAAUAUUGCACAUGGGCGAAAGCCUGAUGCAGCGACGCGCGUGAGGGAUGACGGCCUUCGGGUUGUAAACCUCUUUCAGCAGGGACGAAGCGAGAGUGACGGUACCUGCAGAAGAAGCACGGCCAACUACGUGCCAGCAGCCGCGGUAAUACGUAGGGUGCGAGCGUUGUCCGGAAUUACUGGGCGUAAAGAGCUCGUAGGCGGUUUGUCGCGUCGUCCGUGAAAACUGGGGCUCAACCCAAGCUUGCGGGCGAUACGGGCAGACUUGAGUACUGCAGGGGAGACUGGAAUUCCUGGUGUAGCGGUGAAAUGCGCAGAUAUCAGGAGGAACACGGUGGCGAAGGCGGGUCUCUGGGCAGUAACUGACGCUGAGGAGCGAAAGCGUGGGUAGCGAACAGGAUUAGAUACC
rnacentral:rRNA from 1 species